GUAGGUGAACCUGCGGAAGGAUCAUUAUCGAAAUUCGAGGGGAAGGGUGGGACUGUCGCUGGCUUCCGCUCGGGAGGCAUGUGCACGUCCGUCCUUUCUCUUGCUCUCACACCUGUGCACACAUUGUAGGUCCUCGAAAGAGGAUCUAUGUUUCAAUCAUCACACAACAACGUAUGUCUAGAAUGUAUCGAGAUCGUCGACCGACCUCGCGGUCGGGUGGCGGUCGAAAAAAAAAAACAAAUACAACUUUCAGCAACGGAUCUCUUGGCUCUC
rnacentral:misc_RNA from 1 species